rnacentral:rRNA from 1 species
UACGGAGGGUGCGAGCGUUGUCCGGAAUCACUGGGCGUAAAGGGCGCGUAGGUGGUCGGGUAAGCGUGUGGUGAAAGCUCGGGGCUCAACCCCGAGUCGGCCAUGCGAACUGCUCGACUUGAGCACUGUAGAGGCAGACGGAAUUCCGGGUGUAGCGGUGGAAUGCGUAGAGAUCCGGAAGAACACCGGUGGCGAAGGCGGUCUGCUGGGCAGUUGCUGACACUGAGGCGCGACAGCGUGGGGAGCAAACAGG